rnacentral:lncRNA from 1 species
GUCCUCCCAAAGGUGAAAUACACUGCUGUGAAGGGCAGUUACAUAACCGCUGUUCCUCUGAAGUCUAGUUUGUAUUCCACUGUGAUGAAAUCAUCAGCAUGCGAUAUAUUUGAUUUUUUUUUUUUUUUAACUGAGCAAUAAAAUUCAGCUCUGUUAAUUUUGCUCUCCCCCCCCCCCCAGGUUUUAAUGACCGUUUUGUCAUCUUGUUGCAGCCAGUGCAGAUCCAAAUGCUGUGGCUACCAAGGCUUGUUACUUCUAUGAGCUGGAUCUUGUGAAUCCAAGAGCUACUUGACAGUUUCCAAGGCAACCACCUGUGGAAUAAUUAAAAAAGAUGAAGCAUCAGUAUGUCAGAUAUAGGGAAUCUUGCCUGGAGAGAGCCCUUUGUUUUCACCUGCCUUGAAGAAUUGAAAGCAUUUCUGCCAGCAGAGUUAAGAACGAAGGAAGUAUAAGGUGGGUGUAUUUAAACAGAAAAUCCAGCAGAAAGAUGAUGGAAAAGCGGUGUGGGUGAACAGUAUGUCACACAAGUGAAACAUCUGCAUGGACUGUUCUGCGCUUUUUCCCGUCUUUCUUCACAGAUGACUUGAAGCUGAUAGAGACUAAAGUGGGGUAUGUGUUAGUGGGAGCAUAAGUAGAGGAAGCGGAACCUUCAUGCCAAAUACACUGAGAUUUCUGUGGCGUUCAGUGCAGUGAUGGAUAUAAAAGGAAUGCAGUAGUAAGCUUACUGCGAGUGACAGUCAAAAUCAGGGAUCUUAUUUUACCCCAUAGCUUAAUAAUAGGUGUGCAGUGAUUAUUAAGCUGAUGUUGAAACUGAACUAAUAUUCAGUUUCAAACUUUUUGAUGAAGCAGUAAACCACUUUUAAGACUGCAUUUGUGUAUUCAGAGCUGAAAUUGCUUAGUGGAGGGAAUAAAAGGUAAACAAAGGAACA